rnacentral:rRNA from 1 species
AAUGCCGCGUGUGUGAAGAAGGCCUUCGGGUUGUAAAGCACUUUCAAUAGGGAGGAAAAGCUAUGCGUUAAUAGCGUAUAGCCCUGACGUUACCUAUAGAAGAAGCACCGGCUAACUCCGUGCCAGCACCUUCGGUGACUGAAGCGGGCUGGCAAGGCGCAUA